AUAACUUGUGUUCAUAUAUAUGUGGGUAAUUUUUAAUAUGAAAAUAUUUCUGAGAAAAAUAAAUAGCUGGGCAUGGUGGCACACGCCUGUUGUCCCAGAACAAUUACAAGUCAUUGUGUAGAAAGCAGUGCAAAAUGAAGUUUGCUUGGAUGUCAUAUGAAAAAUCCAAAGGUUGAAAAUUACCACUUUAAAAUGGCCUGGCAUAUCCUAGGUAAUAAUGGCUCAGAGAGAGAGGAGAUACAUCUUUCGGGUGCUAAAAUUAGGGCCUUUAAAGGGAAAUAAAAACGAGGUAAUGAAGACAUUUUCCCCCAGGCUUGCCCAUGGCCCUGUUGUAGUUUAAUUUGUUAGAGAUUCCUGCCCGACCUAGAGCUGUCCAGAAAGUUCAACAGAGAGACCAGAAGCAGCACUGAAGUCGAGCGAGGACUCGGCAGCUCCCUUAGUUGGUCGUGUGUGGUCAUGAUGUUCCAAAGCUGGGCCAAAGCUUUGUUCUUGUCUCUAGAUUUGAUGCAAUUUCACAGAGUCGAAUUGCUAACCAGCCUUCCAAGAGAAAUUGUGUUUGCAUGUUGUAUUUAUUUGCGACAAGUAACAUUCCUCUCAGUGGAGCAGGAUGUUCUCGUUGGGUGGUGACCCUUCUUUGUACUCAGGAGAGUUGCAUAAUAAACCAGUUUCAUAACUGGAAGAUUGCGUUUGGACCAGAGUGUGGAACUGGGGUAAGAGAAAUGAACUGGGUGGCCUUCGUAGCUGGUGGUGUGGACGAAGCCUGGCCUGUCUGUACUGAUGGGGUUGGAGUUCUUGACUCUGUUGUGUGUUGUGCUAGGUCGUCUUACUGCCUGCUGACCACUCUCCUUUUGUCAACAGGAAUUGUAAACAAACAGUUGACUGGCUGGAAUUUGGAUGUUUUGAGUCUCCUCAGGCACCCACUUAGGGUUGCUGGUCAGGGUGCUUUCUCAUAGUUUAGGGAUAGCUUGCUGGUGAGCCUGGGUUCCCUAGGAAUACGGUUAUACCUAAAAAACAAACUGGAUAGAUUCAGCCAGACUUUGACCUUGUUAAUUCAUGACUCAACCUCGACAAAGGCCUCUCCCUUUUUUUUUGUGGCAAAAUAUACAUAACAUUUACCAUGUUAAUCAUUUUUAAGUAUACAGUUCUGUCAUGAAGUAUAGUCACAUUGUUGUGCAACUGGCAGUCUUUCAUUUGGGGACUUUUGUGGUUUGAUGAGGUACAAGAAAUAAAAGGAGGGCAGACAGGAAUGCAAGUCAGUCUGUUGUGAGAAGAGACUGCAUUGGGGUCCAGAAGCUGAGUGCUAGUUCUGGGUCCACCCUACAGUGUGGCAGUUAUAACUCGACUUCUUUUUUCUGGAGUGUGACAGGAGAGUAACAGCAGUGCCACCUGUCUCAUGGAUGCUGUAAGAACCUCACGGAGCAGCAUCUGUGGGUACACGUUGAACAUCAGAGUGCAGCGUCUGGCUAAGGGAUUAUUUUCAGAACAGUUAAUUGUUACAUGAUGGGGGAAUAAGUUCUAACGGAAAUUCUUUUUUGUCUUUGGCGUUAUCAAGAAAUCCAGACACAGCCUUAUGGGUGGACACAGUUCCCCUUUCCAAAGGUGAAAAAGGGAACUUAAUACAAUGUUUUUUUAAAAUAAGAUUGUAACAAUCUAUUGUUUUGAAAGCCAGUGACAUGUUCAUUGAGGAAAUUUGGCAAAGAAGGAAAAUAAAAUCAUAUAACAGAGA
rnacentral:lncRNA from 10 species